rnacentral:rRNA from 1 species
UGGGGAAUAUUGGACAAUGGGCGCAAGCCUGAUCCAGCCAUGCCGCGUGAGUGAUGAAGGCCCUAGGGUUGUAAAGCUCUUUCACCGGUGAAGAUAAUGACGGUAACCGGAGAAGAAGCCCCGGCUAACUUCGUGCCAGCAGCCGCGGUAAUACGAAGGGGGCUAGCGUUGUUCGGAUUUACUGGGCGUAAAGCGCACGUAGGCGGACUUUUAAGUCAGGGGUGAAAUCCCGGGGCUCAACCCCGGAACUGCCUUUGUUACUGGAAGUCUUGAGUAUGGUAGGGGUGAGUGGAAUUCCGAGUGUAGAGGUGAAAUUCGUAGAUAUUCGGAGGAACACCAGUGGCGAAGGCGGCGCACUGGACCAUUACUGACGCUGAGGUGCGAAAGCGUGGGGAGCAAACAGG